AGACCGUGACCACCCAGACAGGAAGGAGGUGGUGGGGGACACCAUGAGAUGUCUGCUCCCUUAUGCAUGGUUAGGCAGCUCUGGGAUCAAUGUGUCGGAGAGGUGUACAAGAACAAACAAAGGAGGAUGACUCAUGGAGCGGAAGACAGAAAGACAGAGCAUCUUGAUCAGGAAAGGACAAAGGAAAUAGGCUGAUUCCUCAGAAGCCAAGGGUUGGCAGACCUGCAAGCAAAGUACAAGAGAUUACCGAACUAUAAGUGUGCCACUGACUCUAUCCUAGGAUCAGCAGCUUGUGGGAGAAUCAUGGAAUACUUACCAAAGUA
rnacentral:lncRNA from 1 species